GACGAACGCUGGCGGCGCGCCUAACACAUGCAAGUCGAGCGAUGAAAUUUUAACCGAUCUCUUCGGAGAGAAGAUAAAAUGGAUUAGCGGCGGACGGGUGAGUAACACGUGAGAAACCUGCCUCUCACAAGGGGAUAGCCUCGGGAAACCGGGAUUAAUACCCUAUGACACAUUUCCUUCGCAUGGAAGAAAUGUUAAAACUCCGGUGGUGAAAGAUGGUCUUGCGCCUGAUUAGCUAGUUGGUGGGGUAACGGCCCACCAAGGCAUGAUCAGUAACCGGCCUGAGAGGGCGAACGGUCACAUUGGAACUGAGACACGGCCCAAACUCCUACGGGAGGCAGCAGUGGGGAAUAUUGCACAAUGGAGGAAACUCUGAUGCAGCGACCCGCGUGAGCGAUGAAGGCCUUCGAGUCGUAAAGCUCUGUCCUAUGGGAAGAUAAUGACGGUACCAUAGGAGGAAGCCCCGGCUAACUAC
rnacentral:rRNA from 1 species